rnacentral:rRNA from 1 species
GACGAACGCUGGCGGCGUGCUUAACACAUGCAAGUCGAACGGAAAGGCCCUGCUUUUGUGGGGUGCUCGAGUGGCGAACGGGUGAGUAACACGUGAGUAACCUGUCCUUGACUUUGGGAUAACUUCAGGAAACUGGGGCUAAUACCGGAUAGGAGCUCCUGCUGCAUGGUGGGGGUUGGAAAGUUUCGGCGGUUGGGGAUGGACUCGCGGCUUAUCAGCUUGUUGGUGGGGUAGUGGCUUACCAAGGCUUUGACGGGUAGCCGGCCUGAGAGGGUGACCGGCCACAUUGGGACUGCGAUACGGACCAGACUCCUACGGGAGGCAGCAGUGGGGAAUAUUGCACAAUGGGCGGAAGCCUGAUGCAGCAACGCCGCGUGCGGGAUGACGGCCUUCGGGUUGUAAACCGCUUUCGCCUGUGACGAAGCGUGAGUGACGGUAAUGGGUAAAGAAGCACCGGCUAACUACGUG